rnacentral:misc_RNA from 1 species
AGCCGAGUUAAAAGCGGGUGUUCAGACACCCCCCCCCCCCCCCGGCCCGGCGCGGAAGUCUUGGAGCACCGUCCCGGCGCGGGUUAAGACAAUCAUUUGUUGUGGAUAACCAGGUGUUUUUCUUCAGCGCUCCCCUUUGCCUCAGUCACGUCUCUGAACGUGGCACCCGUGCAUCACAAGACGCGCUUACCACAUUAAACUUUACUGUCCCUCAUCAGCACUCGUUGGCUUGGUGUGAGACCCCUGCCCUAUGGCCGAGACAGCCGCCAGCCCACCGCGCGGCGCACCCCUCCUCAGCGGGCGGGGUAGUGCAUCACGCGCUCCCCGCCCACACCCUCCCUCCUUCCCGAGUUCGUGUCACGAGGCCAGUGGCGCCAGUGGCGAGGGGACAUUCUCUUUAGACAUGCUGUCCGGUGAGUUCGGGACGGGUGCCGACUGCCGGGGCGGCGACCUCGGAUGGGGCACGGCUAGGGGACGGACGGAGCACCGGCAUUGUCAGCCUGCGGGCAGUCUGCGGUCGGCCCGGGUGGGGUACCGGGUGUCGUAAUGGGAUAUUUUGACACUGCGGCUCGCCGACCAGUGGUCUCUGGAGCUCGCCAGGACGGCAGGUCAGUCCUGACGGCCGCGUAUGUGGCCACGUGACGGUAGUGUGGGCUGCUCAGUUUAUUUUAAAUGUUAUGCCAAAUUAGAUGUCGCUGCUACGGGACCACACACUUCUGUCUUCUGACUUACAUACUUUGUUUGUUAAUUUGUUGUCUGGUUUGCUAUGCACCGUCGCGUCUCUGUCUUCAUCUGGACUGUCGGCGUGUCUUCCGGCAAGUUCCGGCGCCAUUAGCUCCAUCUCCAAAUUCACACCUGGACCGGUGUUCCCGCUGCGUCGGCGAAAUCUGACCUUGAAUGACCUCUGGUGACCUGACCUUGGAACUGACCGAAAAAGUGACCAAAGUGGUUUCGUCAUUAUUAUUGACACUCUUUCGAACGCCGCUUUCCGCGUAGUGCAACGUGCCCCAGCAGCCGAGGCAGAAGGGUGUUUUAACACCCCCCAGCAGGGCAUGGAAAUCCCGGACCCCAGCGGGGCGCGGGUUAUUCGUGGCUAUUGUAAUGGUGUGUUGUCCCUCCCCCCCCCCCUCCUGUGUGAUAACGUAACGGUGACGAGACGGAGUGGCCCUCCCCUCCUCGCAUGGCUGGGUAAUGACGCCUCCCCCCUCUGUGUUACCGGGUGGUGACGACUGACGGUGGCGGAACAAUGGGACGUCUCCUCCCUGCUAGAGCGGGCACGUCAGCAGCGAUCCGUGGACGUCACCCACUGCCACCAGCAGUCGUCUCGCCCCCACUCGGUGUUCACGCUGCGCCGGGAGGAGCGCAGCGAGCUGACACGGCUCACUGUACCUGGUCGACCUGCUCCGGCUCCGAGUCCGCAGCGCAGGGCGACCGGCUCACCGAGACAAACAAUAUCAACUAUAGACCACGUGCCGUUCCGCGACUCCAAGCUGACGCACCUGCUGCACCACUCACUGGACGGCAACAGCAAGACGCUGAUGCUCGUGAACAUGUCGCGGCGCGAGGACGGCGCCGGCGAGACGCUCAACUCGCUGCGUUUGGCCGGCCAGGUCAACCACUGUCUUAUCGGCACCGCCACGAAACCUACCCGGCUGGCCAAUGGCAGUGCACCACGAAUUCGGUACGGCUGAAACAUUACAGCUCUACAACACGCCACUGAUCUUCAUACACCGAACAUCGGGCUUCAGUACAACGUCACUCUGCAGCAGAAAUAAGUGAACGGGAGGAUCGCCACCGAACGCCUUCGACCAAACAUCGCGCCUCACCAAAACGUUACUUUGAAGCUGAAAAAGUGAGCUAGAGGACAAGUGAUGUCACGUUAUGACAACUUGAGUGCCCGUGAAGGCGAUGGCAGGUGCGGUGCUGUCUAUGGAGGUGAGUAUUGAAUAAACGUAUCUCAUGCACUGGGCAAAUAUGAUGUGGAUAUUGAGGUGUGUAUUGAAUAAACAACGUAUCUCAUGCUCGGGACACAUGUGAUGUGUCCAUGGAGGCGUGCAUUGAAUAAACUUAUCAGUCGGGGGAGGUUUGGUCAAUCGUUGUCAUUCUUAGCACGUGCUAUUUUUGUCACACGUGCCAAAAAUGGCAACGGUUCUGUUAUUUUUGACAACGGUGAAGCCGAUUUCACUCCUCAGCGAGGAAAUCACGAUUUUGGAAAUACAAGCACUGAUUUUGGAAAAGAAGUGCUGCCACCUGGUGCAAGAAUAAUAAACCAGCUGUAAUACGGGCCGUUGUAUGGUAAUUUCUUUUGUGGCCUGAAGUUCGAACUUAAAAACUACUGUUACGUGUCAUGUUGUGCCGAACUACGACCAUGUCGUACGCAACUAAAUCAUCGUGUCGGUCGGAACUCUGCUUCAGGGCGAAUUAAGCGGUUUUCUGCGAUGCAUCAUUCGUUUAAAAUAAAAUAGCAUGUCAUU